rfam:Cryptococcus dejecticola CBS 10117 unplaced genomic scaffold supercont1.1, whole genome shotgun sequence.
AUCUACGGCCAUAGAAUCCUUAAAACACCGGGUCUCGUCAGCUCCCCAUAGUCAAGUUGGAUAUCGCUCGGUGAGUACCAAAGUGGGGGACCAUUUGGGAAUGCCAAGUGCUGUAGUCG